UGGGAAUUUUGGACAAUGGGCGCAAGCCUGAUCCAGCUAUUCCGCGUGUGGGAUGAAGGCCCUCGGGUUGUAAACCACUUUUGUAGAGAACGAAAAGACACCUUCGAAUAAAGGGUGUUGCUGACGGUACUCUAAGAAUAAGCACCGGCUAACUACGUGCC
rnacentral:rRNA from 1 species